UACAGAGGUCCCAAGCGUUGUUCGGAUUCACUGGGCGUAAAGGGUGCGUAGGCGGUUUGACAAGUCUGAUGUGAAAUCUAUGGGCUCAACCCAUAGUCUGCAUUAGAAACUGUCGGGCUUGAGUAUGGGAGAGGUGAGUGGAAUUUCCGGUGUAGCGGUGAAAUGCGUAGAUAUCGGAAGGAACACCUGUGGCGAAAGCGGCUCACUGGACCAUUACUGACGCUGAUGCACGAAAGCUAGGGGAGCAAACAGG
rnacentral:rRNA from 1 species